AUCAAAUUAAGUUAGUGUUAGACUGGAUAUUUUCAAAAUAUUUAGGGGUGUAUGCCAUUUGAUG
rnacentral:tRNA from 1 species